rnacentral:tRNA from 1 species
GCCACAGUAGCUCAGUGGUAGAGCUAUCGGCUGUUAACCGAUCGGUCGUAGGUUCGAGUCCUACCUGUGGAGCCA